AAACACAACGCGGCUAGGCUUCCCGUCCGUCUGUAUCUUCUUGUGAGGCAGAGGAAGUGGAAACUUCAGUAAAGAGAAAGAGAGAGACAGAGAGAGAGAGCGAUGGAGAGGAAGAGGUGCUUCUUGGACAUCAGCAUCGGAGGGGAACUUGAAGGACGGAUAGUUGUGGAGCUCUAUAACGACGUCGUUCCCAAAACCACCGAGAAUUUCAGGGCUCUUUGCACUGGCGAGAAGGGCAUUGGCCCCAAUACUGGUGUCCCCCUCCAUUACAAGGGAUGCCGCUUUCAUCGCGUGAUUAAAGGGUUUAUGGUGCAAGGUGGAGAUAUAUCUGCUGGAGAUGGUACUGGGGGAGAAUCUAUAUAUGGAUUGAAAUUUGAGGAUGAAAAUUUUGAGCUUAAACAUGAAAGGAAAGGCAUGUUAUCCAUGGCCAACUCUGGCCCUAACACUAAUGGGUCUCAAUUUUUCAUCACAACAACCCGCACUUCUCAUCUUGAUGGAAAACACGUUGUGUUUGGGAAGGUUGUUAAAGGAAUGGGAGUUGUUCGCUCAAUUGAGCACGUUACAGGUGGCGAUGGUGAUUGUCCCAGUGUGGAUGUAGUAAUUGCUGAUUGUGGAGAAAUUCCACAGGGGACAGAUGAUGGAAUCAGUAAUUUCUUUAAAGAUGGUGAUGAAUAUCCGGAUUGGCCUGCUGACCUAGAUGAGAGUUCUAACGACCUCUCUUGGUGGAUGGAGGCUGUAGAAUCUAUCAAGGCUCAUGGAAAUGAUCAUUUCAAGAAACAGGACUACAAAAUGGCUCUUAGAAAGUACAGGAAGGCUUUGCGCUAUCUGGAUAUCUGCUGGGAAAAGGAAGGGAUUGAUGAAGAGAAGAGUUCUUGUUUGAGACAGACUAAGUCGCUUAUAUUCACCAAUAGCUCUGCUUGUAAAUUAAAGCUGGGGGAUCUUAAAGGAGCUUUACUAGAUACAGAUUUUGCAAUACGUGAUGGUGAAAACAAUGUUAAAGCUUUGUUUCGUCAAGGGCAGGCAUACAUGGCAUUAAAUGAUGUUGAUGCUGCAGUUGAAAGCUUCAAAAAGGCAUUGGAAUUGGAGCCAAGUAAUGGUGGAAUAAAAAAAGAGUUUGCUGCUGCUAAGAAGAAGAUUUCCAAUAGACAUGAUGAGGAGAAGAAGCGAUAUCGUAAAAUGUUCCAAUAGCACUUGUUAGCAGUUGGCAACUUGUAUCCCAAUGUGAAAUGGUUCUGGCUUUCCAACUUUACGAGCCUAUCAUUUUGAGGGGGGGUGAGGGUUUGCUUCAAGCUGUGGAACCCGCAGUACAAAAUUGAACCGUUGAGAUUUGGAGGCUUGAACCAAUUUUGAUACAAGUUUUAACUGGAUUAUAGCUUUGGAAAUUCAGAACCAGAUAGGGCUGAUGAAUUCGCUGCUGAAAUGACAUUUUGUUUGAAAUGAUCGCCGCGGUUUAAUGACUGUCUAUAAAAUAGACAAAAUUUUGGACUUAAUUCUUAUGCUUUUGCUUUUGCUUGGUGACUCAGAGACUAUUUUAUGCAUACUGAAUAUUUUGUGCUUUGAUGUUGGAAUUUUUUGUCAAUCACAUUUCAAAUAUGGUUUUGGCGCCA